rnacentral:rRNA from 1 species
UUAAAUUGAAGAGUUUGAUCAUGGCUCAGAUUGAACGCUGGCGGCAGGCCUAACACAUGCAAGUCGAACGGUAACAGGAAGCGCUUGCUGCUU